UCCCAAAUUAAGAUAAUUACAAAGAAAUAGUCAAGUAUUUUAUUUUAAUCUAGCCAGGACAUUAUGGUAGUUCAAUCUUGUCAAUCACUCAACCUUGUUGACAUGAUUUACUAUUAAAAAGAGAAAUAAAGGUGUAACAGUAUUUGUUUAUUUGGACAAAGUGGAAGGUAAACUGAAACAGAAAGACAUAAAAAGAGUAUUUUGUUAAUUUCUACUGAAGAGCAACUCAAUGUGUCAAUAAUAGGUUGAAGUGAUGAGAGGAGACUAUUUCAGGAACUCUAAUUAUGACAGGUUCCAGGUUUUAAUUGGACAAAAGACAGCAUAAAACAUUAUUAUCAUAAAACUUUAUCCAGAUUUAAGUAUAAAAUGAGCAGUAUCUGCAUAAAGGGUUAAAGGCGGACGUAUAAACCUCCAUAAACGUCUUUAGUUGUUGCUUCAGAGCUCGAAUCUUCAUGAAUCCUCAACAUCAUUUGUUAGUCUGGUCACAUGAAGCAAUACGUUGAAAACAAGUUGGAUCCUGCCAGGUACAAAAUCCUAUAAUAUGUGAUUUAUCGCACACUGGAAACUGUGAAAUGAUUGCACCCAGUUUUGUGUUUUACAUUGAAACAGCCCAUUCCUUGUGCCAGUAAAGAAGGACAAACUAAUUGCAUGUAAAAAGUUUUUGAAAAAAAAUGAAAAUUGUAAAUCCAGAUGCUGUCAUUCUACGGAAGCACCUAAAGGGACUUUCGAGUAAAAAAAAAAAAAAGGGGGUAAAAUGUUUUUUUUUUCUUUUUUGAAAAUUUGAAGUUAAAUAACUUAUCCUGGUUAGUAACUGCUGCACACCAAAUCGUAACAGAUUUUUUUUCUUCUGAAGAUUGAAGUAAAAAAGUGUUUUGUUUUGUUUUAGAUGAAGGCAAAAAAAAGAAAAUCUCAAAAUGUACACCUGGCUGACUCAUGGGGCCUUCUGCGAUGACUGCAUUCAGACAGUAAUGCCCUGCUGUUCCUUUCACUUCACAGUCAAAAGGAACAAGGAACAAUUUUUCAGCUGCGCUCCAUUGAAAAGCAAACACGUGCUGCAUCGUCACAAAGAGGCCAGUGGGAGGAAACGCUCAGUUUGUGAAGGUCAAAGUUUGGUCAUUUUGAAGUUUCAAGGUACAGGUGCUGUGGAGUCAGUGGAUGAAAAUAAACUAAAAGAUCCAUUUG